CCUGCGGAGGGAUCAUUACAGAGUUUUCUAAACUCCCAACCCUAUGUGAACUUACCUUUGUUGCUUCGGCGGCGGAGGCUACCCUGCGGGAGAAUACCACUUAGUGGUUACCCUGUAGUUUCAGGUACAUCAGCUACCCGGUAGUCAUCCCCGCCGGCGGCCAACUAAACUCUGUUUUCUUUGGAAUUCUGAAUAACAAACUUAAUAAGUUAAAACUUUCAACAACGGAUCUCUUGGUUCUGGCAUCGAUGAAGAACGCAGCGAAAUGCGAUAAGUAAUGUGAAUUGCAGAAUUCAGUGAAUCAUCGAAUCUUUGAACGCACAUUGCGCCCAUUAGCAUUCUAGUGGGCAUGCCUGUUCGAGCGUCAUUUCACCACUUAAGCCUUGUUGCUUAGCGUUGGGAGCCUACGGCACGGCCCGUAGCUCCUUAAAGUGAUUGGCGGAGUUGGUUCUCACUCUAAGCGUAGUAAUUAUAUCUCGCUUCUGUAGUGGUCCCGGCCCCUGCCGUAAAACCCCUUAUACAAAGGUUGACCUCGGAUCAGGUAGGAAUACCCGCUGAACUUAAGCAUA
rnacentral:rRNA from 1 species